ACGGGAGGCAGCAGUGGGGAAUAUUGCACAAUGGGGGAAACCCUGAUGCAGCGACGCCGCGUGAGUGAAGAAGUAUUUCGGUAUGUAAAGCUCUAUCAGCAAGGAAGAAAAUGACGGUACUUGACUAAGAAGCUCCGGCUAAAUACGUGCCAGCAGCCGCGGUAAUACGUAUGGAGCAAGCGUUAUCCGGAUUUACUGGGUGUAAAGGGAGCGUAGACGGCAAAGCAAGUCUGAAGUGAAAUCCCGGGGCUCAACCCCGGAACUGCUUUGGAAACUGUUUAGCUAGAGUGCAGGAGAGGUAAGCGGAAUUCCUAGUGUAGCGGUGAAAUGCGUAGAUAUUAGGAGGAACACCAGUGGCGAAGGCGGCUUACUGGACUGUAACUGACGUUGAGGCUCGAAAGCGUGGGGAGCAAGCAGGAUUAGAUACCCUGGUA
rnacentral:rRNA from 1 species